rnacentral:rRNA from 1 species
UACGUAGGGGGCAAGCGUUGUCCGGAAUCAUUGGGCGUAAAGCGCGUGUAGGCGGUUCGAUAAGUCUGCUGUGAAAGUCCAGGGCUCAACCCUGGGAUGCCGGUGGAUACUGUCGGACUAGAGUACGGAAGAGGCGAGUGGAAUUCCCGGUGUAGCGGUGAAAUGCGCAGAUAUCGGGAGGAACACCAAUGGCGAAGGCAGCUUGCUGGGCUACUCCUGACACUGAGGUACGAAAGCGUGGGGAGCGAACAGG